ACAGUCCUACAGGGAGUUAAGCUCUCAGUAUACGAGUUUGGGGGAGACACAAUUAAGUCCAUAUCAUUCACUCUUCCUUUACGUGAUUGUAAGUGUAUCAAGAGCAGUUCUGUGCAAGCCGGACACAUUGAGGACAUUACAGGGAUCCCGAAAUGUGAACGGAAUUGUCACCUAGCCUCUCCAUCGCCUAUCCAGAAGCAGCCUUGUGUAUUGGAACACAAACAUUAUUAAACAACAAAUUCAGUUUCGAUAAGUGUCCAGUUGUCCGUGGCUGAGACCUCUCCCUCCGCAUCUGUCGGCUGAGGACAAAAUUCAGAAAGGUCCUUCGGCUUUGUCCCAUUGGAUCAGCAAAGCAAAUGACAUCCUGUGCGUCCUUAUGAAUGGGAAAUAUUUACCGAGUGUCUAAUACGUGUGGACCUUUCUGGCAACCCGGCAAACCUCCCCCGUGUAAGAGCCCAUGGAUUUCUUCUGGGGACACUGACUUCCCUCCACUGUUUGAAACCUUGGUUGGGUGGCAAGUGAAAGGAUCCCUGUUCCACUCCAGAUGUCCAAGGACGCCACGGAGAAUUUUUCUCCACAGGUUUCCUUUUGCUAUCCCGGAGGUGCCAGUGUGCUGAUGUAGUCCUUAAAUUGGCGCUUUCAGCACUGUCCUAGAUGAUAAACUUUGAGGAACGUUUCACCAAGAGAAAUUUGAUUAGAACAAGUUAGCUUCAUUCCUGUGUUGGUGGCUGAGAAAAAAAGAGGGGGCAGUCUUUGAGAAUUUCCUGUCACU